rnacentral:rRNA from 1 species
CGAAAGCCUGACGGAGCAAUACCGCGUGAGGGAGGAAGGCUCUUGGGUUGUAAACCUCUUUUCUCAAGGAAUAAGAAAGUGAAGGUACUUGAGGAAUAAGCAUCGGCUAACUCCGUGCCAGCAGCCGCGGUAAUACGGAGGAUGCAAGCGUUAUCCGGAAUGAUUGGGCGUAAAGCGUCCGCAGGUGGCAUUGAAAGUCUGCUGUUAAAGAGUCUGGCUCAACCAGAUAAAGGCAGUGGAAACUACAAAGCUAGAGUGCGUUCGGGGUAGAGGGAAUUCCUGGUGUAGCGGUGAAAUGCGUAGAGAUCAGGAAGAACACCGGUGGCGAAGGCGCUCUACUAGGCCGCAACUGACACUGAGGGACGAAAGCUAGGGGAGCGAAUGGGAUUAGAUACCCCAGUAGUCCUAGCCGUAAACGAUGGAUACUAGGCGUUGCUUGUAUCGACCCGAGCAGUGCCGUAGCUAACGCGUUAAGUAUCCCGCCUGGGGAGUACGCACGCAAGUGUGAAACUCAAAGGAAUUGACGGGGGCCCGCACAAGCGGUGGAGUAUGUGGUUUAAUUCGAUGCAACGCGAAGAACCUUACCAGGGCUUGACAUGUCGCGAAUCCCGGUGAAAGCUGGGAGUGCCUUAGGGAGCGCGAACACAGGUGGUGCAUGGCUGUCGUCAGCUCGUGUCGUGAGAUGUUGGGUUAAGUCCCGCAACGAGCGCAACCCUCGUUGUUAGUUGCCAGCACUUAGGGUGGGCACUCUAACAAGACUGCCGGUGACAAACCGGAGGAAGGUGGGGAUGACGUCAAGUCAGCAUGCCCCUUACGUCCUGGGCUACACACGUACUACAAUGCGACGGACAGAGGGCAGCGAGCAUGCGAAUGCAAGCAAAUCCCGAAAACCGGCGCUCAGUUCAGAUCGAAGGCUGCAACUCGCCUUCGUGAAGGUGGAAUCGCUAGUAAUUGCAGGUCAGCAUACUGCAGUGAAUUCGUUCCCGGGCCUUGUACACACCGCCCGUCACACCAUGGAAGCUGGUAGUGCCCGAAGUCGUUACCCCAACCUUUCGGGGAGGGGGAUGCCUAAGGCAGGACUGGUGACUGGGGUGAA